rnacentral:rRNA from 1 species
UAGAUGCGAGAGUAGAGCAUAUCAAUAAGCGGAGGAAAAGAAACUAACAAGGAUUCCCUUAGUAACGGCGAGUGAAGCGGGAAGAGCUCAAAUUUGAAAUCUUCAAGGUUCUACCUAGACGAAUUGUAGUUUAAAGAAGUGUUUUCUGUUAGAUGAGUAGCAAAAGUUCCUUGGAAUGGGACAUCAUAGAGGGUGAGAAUCCCGUAUUUGGUUAUUCAUUCUAGCUUUGUGAUACACUUUCAAAGAGUCGGAUUGUUUGGGAAUGCAGUCCAAAAUGGGUCGGUAAAUUUCAUCUAAAGCUAAAUAUCGGCGAGAGACCGAUAGCGAACAAGUACCGUGAGGGAAAGAUGAAAAGAACUUUGAAAAGAGAGUUAAACAGUACGUGAAAUUGUCAAAAGGGAAGCGUUUGACACCAGUGUUGUUUUUCCGAAAAUCAAUUACGAAUGGCUUGAUUUUGUGUUGUAUUGACCUUAUCAGCUUUCUGCACUUUUUUCGAGUCUUUCUUAAUGCACUUUUCGGUUAACAAGUCAACAUCAAUUUCUUUUGUUGUAAAAGAGUAUUCGGAAGGUGGCUUUCUUUUCGGAGAAAGUGUUUAUAGCCCUAUACUUCUACAAUCGGAGAGAUUGAGGUCUGCAGCGUAGAUCCUUCGGGGUUAGAUACAUUUGUGCUAAGUUGUAGCUUUUCAUAGACAACUUGUUGACUAUGUUUAGUCAUGCGGCUUACUCGCUUAUGCUAUUUUACCUACGCUUAGGAUGUUGAGCGCAUGUCUCUCUCU